UACGUAGGGUGCAAGCGUUGUCCGGAAUUAUUGGGCGUAAAGAGCUCGUAGGCGGUUUGUCGCGUCUGCUGUGAAAACCCGAGGCUCAACCUCGGGCCUGCAGCGGGUACGGGCAGACUAGAGUGCGGUAGGGGAGAUUGGAAUUCCUGGUGUAGCGGUGGAAUGCGCAGAUAUCAGGAGGAACACCAAUGGCGAAGGCAGAUCUCUGGGCCGUAACUGACGCUGAGGAGCGAAAGCAUGGGGAGCGAACAGG
rnacentral:rRNA from 1 species